AGCUUUAGAGGCGUGAGGGACUGAUAAGGGCUGACAAUGUUUUGGUACAAGUGGGGGGGUUCGUGUUUAAGGUCAAGGUAUUAAUUCAGGGAAACGCAAGGGUUUUUUGGAGCGUUGCAAUGUGCAACCCUUGGGUUUGACUGGGGUGGAUAGCAGCAAUUUAGCCUCAGAUGACGGCUUGUCAGGCUCGCUGGAGAUGUGAAAUAGGCGGAGAAAGUAGACCAGAGUCAGCUGUAGCCUUUUACGUUGUGGACACCUUUGGUGUGAACUGUCAAGGUCGUCAAGCUUGCAGGCAGCCCGUGGACAGACGGAGGGAUGAAUGGACAGAGUAAAGGAUGGCUGGGAUGCUUUGCUGUGAUGGAGAGUGACCAGCAGAGUGUGUAGUGACUACUCUGUUGACCGAUCCAACAACUCGGAUCAAUGCUGGAAACCGACACAAAGCGUCUGCCUGUCCAGAUUAAAACACGUGGCCAAAUAAACCCACCCUAAACACAUCUAUCCAUCAGUCCAUCUCUCCAUCCAUCACUCCAUCCAUCACUCCAUCCGUCCAUCCAGAGC